ACCCCGGUGGCGCAAUGGUUAGCGCGUCGUACUUAUAAUGCGAAGGUUGCGGGUUCGAAUCCCGUUCGGGGUA